rnacentral:tRNA from 1 species
GAGAUGGCUCAGUGGUGAAGAGCACUUGUUUUUGCAGAGGACCUGGGUUCGAUUCCCAGCACUCA